rnacentral:rRNA from 1 species
GUAGGGUGCGAGCGUUGUCCGGAAUUAUUGGGCGUAAAGGGCGCGUAGGCGGCCUGGUAAGUCUGGAGUGAAAGUCCUGCUUUUAAGGUGGGAAUUGCUUUGGAUACUGUCGGGCUUGAGUGCAGGAGAGGUAAGUGGAAUUCCCGGUGUAGCGGUGAAAUGCGUAGAGAUCGGGAGGAACACCAGUGGCGAAGGCGACUUACUGGACUGUAACUGACGCUGAGGCGCGAAAGUGUGGGGAGC